UACGUAGGGUGCGAGCGUUGUCCGGAAUUAUUGGGCGUAAAGAGCUCGUAGGCGGUUUGUCACGUCUGCUGUGAAAUCCCGAGGCUCAACCUCGGGCCUGCAGUGGGUACGGGCAGACUGGAGUGCGGUAGGGGAGAAUGGAAUUCCUGGUGUAGCGGUGGAAUGCGCAGAUAUCAGGAGGAACACCGAUGGCGAAGGCAGUUCUCUGGGCCGUAACUGACGCUGAGGCGCGAAAGCGUGGGGAGCGAACAGG
rnacentral:rRNA from 1 species